AGCGAACGCUGGCGGCAGGCCUAACACAUGCAAGUCGAACGAAGUCUUCGGACUUAGUGGCGGACGGGUGAGUAACACGUGGGCACGUGCCUUUAGGUUCGGAAUAACUCAGGGAAACUUGUGCUAAUACCGAAUGUGCCCUUCGGGGGACAGAUUUAUCGCCUUUAGAGCGGCCCGCGUCUGAUUAGCUAGUUGGUGAGGUAAAGGCUCACCAAGGCUACGAUCAGUAGCUGGUCUGAGAGGAUGACCAGCCACAUUGGGACUGAGACACGGCCCAAACUCCUACGGGAGGCAGCAGUGGGGAAUCUUGCGCAAUGGGCGAAAGCCUGACGCAGCCAUGCCGCGUGGAUGAUGAAGGUCUUAGGAUUGUAAAAUCCUUUCACCGGUGAAAAUAAUGACUGUAGCCGGAGAAGAAGCCCCGGCUAACUUCGUGCCAGCCGCCGCUGUAACAC
rnacentral:rRNA from 1 species